AUGGUGAGGAAUUUUUCAGCUUUAGCAACACUGGAAGACUGUCUCUACCCAAAUUAUAGGAGGAUAUCUUUGCUGCUGUACAGAGCUUCUACACCAAUAAGACCUCAAAUGCAGGAAAAAUGGGACGUGACAGCCUCAACUCUGGAGGUGCUGCUAGGCCUGAGACCCAGCCAAGUUCUUGCUCUACCCCAGGGGAAGUUCUUUGUAAAUAGGUACUAUAUGAAUCAGCCAGGACUGGGUCUAGCUAAAACUGAGAAGUCAGUGAAAUUUUGUAUUUGA
rnacentral:lncRNA from 1 species